rnacentral:tRNA from 1 species
CGCGGAGUGGAGCAGUUGGCAGCUCGUCGGGCUCAUAACCCGAAGGUC